GAUGAACGCUGGCGGCGUGCCUAAUACAUGCAAGUCGAACGCGAGCACUUGUGCUCGAGUGGCGAACGGGUGAGUAAUACAUAAGUAACCUGCCCUAGACAGGGGGAUAACUAUUGGAAACGAUAGCUAAGACCGCAUAGGUACGGACACUGCAUGGUGACCGUAUUAAAAGUGCCUCAAAGCACUGGUAGAGGAUGGACUUAUGGCGCAUUAGCUGGUUGGCGGGGUAACGGCCCACCAAGGCGACGAUGCGUAGCCGACCUGAGAGGGUGACCGGCCACACUGGGGACUGAGACACGGUCCAGACUCCUACGGGAGCAGCAGUGGGGAAUAUUGCACAAUGGAGGGAACUCUGAUGCAGCGACGCCGCGUGAGUGAAGAAGGUCUUCGGAUC
rnacentral:rRNA from 1 species